CUGUUGGAGAUGCAUUUCCUCUUUUGCCCUUCCUGUUAUAAGCUCUAAUGAUUGGGGGUCUAUCAAAAUCCAAACAAAACCAAAAUCUAAAACUAAUUUGUAUGUUCCAAUCUAAAAUAAUGCAAUUUAUAUACAAAGGAAAAGCCUCUUACAAAUCUAAUAAACAAACAAUACAUGACGAUAAUUCAGUUUGUGAUCCAAAGAGCCUCCUCUUUUUGUCUGGAAUGCAAUUGGAUUACAGCGAUGCUCUCAUCGGUGGAGGCUUCUCUUUCAGGAACCCAAACGUGACUCAAACUUGCGGUUGUGGUAAAUCCUUUGCAGCCGAGAUGUGAAAUCAUAUAGUUUAUACAAAGAAAAUUUAAGUAUUAAACAUAUCACAAGUAGAUUGUGUACAUAGGAAACUCCCAAGAAAUUUAGUAUAAUUACAUGAUUCUAAUAUCUCUGCUCUGCACUAGAAAUCUCCAUUCGAUUCUGCUGAAUUGUGAACCCACUUUACAUUAUUGGGC